UGCUCACCAACUCUAUUCCCCUGCCCCCAUUGAAGCUUCUUCACCGCCAGUGGCAUCGUCUCCUUCUUUGUUUUUGGAUCUCACUAUUCAUUGCUCCUCUCUCUCUCUCUCUCUCUCUCGAGGACACCAUUGGAGGAGCUACGAGGAGGAGGAGAAGCGACAGUGAAAGGGGGGAUCGAGGGCGGAUGCGAUCGGUGGAGCUGGAAGGAAGAGGAACAUCGGUGACGAUCGGAGCUCGAAGGAGGAAGGGAAGCAUCAGCGUGAACUGAAGGAUUAGUGGUGGUACGAUCGGAGCGUCCCAUAUGUGCAUAUGGAAUACACGAUGAAAGCCCGAAUAGGCUUUUGAUUAUUUGUGUGUGCUCAAAUUUGUCAUACGAAGCUCUAUGUCAUAUAUGCAAGUGGAUGGUUCCGGUAGCUUGCUAAAUUCUUGUGAUUGUUAACAGCCUGCUCCUUCUUUCUUUUCUCCUUAUGAAUGUCUCUACUUUUAUAGCUUUUGUGGCACGGAAUAACAAAUCCAUUAGGACUUCUGCUUUGUGCACUUGACAAUGCUUUUCUUAGAUAAUGAUUUUGUAAAGGUUGUGAGUUUCACAACUCCUUGUUUUUCAAAGUUUCAUAUAGACACCCUUGAUUUACUUGAUUUCCUUAUUUGAAUGACUUUGAUCUGUUCCAGAUAUGUUUACUAUUAUAACAUAUCUUUGAAUUAGGCCCUGAUGUAUGUACACACUGACGGAUGACAUUAUUGGAAUGUGAUAUGAUACAAGUUAUAUGAGUAUAUUUACUCGAAAAGUUUUGAUUUCACUAUUAUUUGUGCAUUAUUCAAUAUUUGUGGCCGCUAUGUCCUUGCGGCCAAUUUUUUUUUUCCUUUUAUUUCCUUAACUUGAGUGUUACUUGUUAUGCUUUCCGGGGUGUAUUUCGUGAACUUAUUGAGGACAGACCACAAAAAUCCAUCAGAGAUGAGGUAGAUCUUGUGGCAUUACCAAAGCAGUUGUGGUGUUUACUGAAAGAAAAGAAUGUUGGUGAGGUAUCAGCAGAAGUUGGAUGGUUGUUUGACCAUGGCCAUGCCGUGACAUCAAGUUGUGUUUUCCUUCAGGAUGGAAGACUAAAGGAGAUAGUAUUAUCACAGGAUGUUGUGGUGUCAUGAAAAUAGUUCUGGUAGUUGAUUGAUAUAAGCAAAUGGUUCACUUAUUCAGCCACAUAAGCACAGAAGGAUGUGAUCACAUACAAAAAUGGAAAAGAAAAGUUUCUGUCAAAAUUAGGAGCUGCAGACAUGGCUGGAGAAAUUGGUGUGAUUUUCAACAUCCCACAGCCUUUCACAAUAUGUACAAAGAGGCUUUCUCAGGUUGUGAGAAUCAGUCAUCGGCAUUUCACUCAAAUUGUUCAACCUUGCAUUACAGAUGGCCAAACUAUUGUCUCCAAUUUUGUUCAGUUUCUCAAAGGUCUGAAAGAAGAAAUUCUUGAAGAAAUACCAUUUGCCGCAGAAUUGCUGGAAGACAUGAAUAACAUGAAUCAUAAACAACCUGGUGAAGCAAAAGAACGUGAGACAAUAAAUCCAAACAUGAAUGGUGAUGCACAAACAGAAGGUGGAUGUCAAGUGUCUGGUUGAAAAGCUUCUUGAAUAUGUCAUGAAUAACCACCUCGUUGUUCGAGAUCCUGAGACUAUUCUGCAGGCAUUGAAAAUAUCGCUGGUUAGAAUUACUCUCAUCUGCAUUUUCACUCUCGUCACCUCUGCUAUUAAAUAGUAGAUGACCAUGGAGAUGGGUUUCUUGGGUUGGGGAAGAUGGAGGAGGCGAGCUCUGCCACAUACUUGGUCUGGGAGGAUCUCAUGGCUGUGCUGGCCAACUAUGGCAGUCUAAGGCCAGCAAAGAAGCUGCUCCAGGGCCUCAGUGGGUAUGCGACUCCCGGAGGGAUCAUGGCCAUCAUGGGACCCUCUGGAUAUGGGAAAUCUACGCUUCUUGAUUCAUUGGCAAGUUUGGGGAUUUUGCCUUUUUUUGCUGAUUAUUUUGGGAAUUUGGUUUGAUUGGUGGUACUGGAACAUGGAGGUUGGGGAGAAAUGUUGUUCUCACUGGGAAGGUGUUGCUGAAUGGGAAGAAGAGGAGGCUUGAUUACGGCAUUGUGAAUCCUUCACAUUAAUGCAAGCUUACGUGACACAAGAAAAUGUUCUGCUUGGGACUCUGACAGUCAGAGAGACCAUCACUUACUCAGCUCACUUGAGGCUUCCUACCACUAUGAGAAAGAAGGAGGUGCAAGCUGUAGUGGAACGCAUCCAAAAGUUUAUCGUGCCACCAGAUGUUCCUCCUCUCAAAUGUAGAACUUAUGGUUGCUACUUAUGUGACAUUUGGGCAAACAAUGAUGCUGUGAAAAAUGCUGUGCACAUCCAGAAGGGAACUGUGCCAGAAUGGAUCAAAUGCAAUGAUUAUUUGCAGUAUGCUAAUGAUAUUCUGAGUAGUGUAAAAUACCAGUACAAGCUCACAAGCCAAGGUUAUAGAGCUCUUGUUUACAGGUGAAGCUAGAUCUACUUGAAAAACAUUGCUUCUCUUUGUUGAAUCAUCGUAUUACAGUUACUAACACCAGCUGAUGAGGAGGUGGCUAUAUGCAUUCAAUUAUGUAGGGUGUUGGUCACACAGCUCCAGACUACAAGCCAAGGGAGAGCCUGGCUAUGAUUAAGAGAUGGCUUUCACACCAACCACUAUAGUUUUUUUUUUAAUAAUAGAUGGCAAGUGUCCUCUACUUAAAAUUUUUGUUCUGCAAAUGUUGUCAACUUGGAUCUUGUUUGUUCCCCAGCAACAAGGCUGCAAUACUGAAUUUUAAUGUUGCAUGUGGAAUGGAGUUUUAAUGUUGUUUUGAUACAAGUGUUUGUAUAGUUAUACUACAUGAUUUCCAAUGUAUAUAUAGGGCGUCUAUAUGUAUUUUUAAUUCAA